UCCAUCUCGGAUUACCAAUCUCAGAUAAACUCCGAAUGCCAACGAGAUAUCAUCGGCAGUCAGACUGCGAGUGCUAAGAUCCGUAGUCGAAAGGGAAACAGCCCAGACCACCAGCUAAGGUCCCAAAAUAACUGUUAAGUGGAAAAGGAUGUGGGGUUGCACAGACAACUAGGAUGUUAGCUUAGAAGCAGCUAUUCAUUCAAAGAGUGCGUAAUAGCUCACUAGUCGAGUGACCCUGCGCCGAAAAUGUACCGGGGCUAAAACAGUUUACCGAAGCUGUGGAUGACACAAAAGUGUCAUGGUAGGAGAGCGUUCUAUGUGUGAAGAAGGUGUACCGUGAGGAGCGCUGGAACGCAUAGAAGUGAGAAUGCCGGUAUGAGUAGCGAAAGACAGGUGAGAAUCCUGUCCACCGUAAGACUAAGGUUUCCAGGGGAAGGCUCGUCCGCCCUGGGUUAGUCGGGACCUAAGGAGAGACCGAAAGGUGUAUCCGAUGGCCAACAGGUUGAUAUUCCUGUACUAGAGUAUAUAGUGAUGGAGGGACGCAGUAGGC
rnacentral:rRNA from 1 species